CACGUAGGAGGCAAACGUUAUCCGGAUUUACUGGGCGUAAAGCGCGUGUAGGUGGUUUGGUAAGUAGGGCGUGAAAGCUCCCGGCUCAACUGGGAGAGGUCGUUCUAAACUGCCGAGCUAGAGGAUGGUAGAGGGAGGUGGAAUUCCGGGUGUAGCGGUGGAAUGCGCAGAUAUCCGGAGGAACACCAGUGGCGAAGGCGGCCUCCUGGACCAUUCCUGACACUCAGACGCGAAAGCUAGGGUAGCAAACGGG
rnacentral:rRNA from 1 species